GCAGAUGCGGCCAGAAGCGGCUGCGCCGGGACCCCGCGUUUUCCGCUCAAGAUGAAGCCGCUAAAGUUCAGAGCUCAAAAAAUGGCAUAGUCAGGAUUUGAACUCAAAUCAUCAAACUCCAAAGUCUAUGCUCAACCACAGUGCUCUCCUGCCUUCUCUCUAUAAUAAAGUCCACUAGACCUUCACCUGUUAAAAUGCAGAUUCCCCAAAUCCAUCUGCUCUUGCAGAUGGCCAAAAAUGUCCGUAUAUUUUCUUGGUUU